AAGCGGACCUCAUAAAGUAUGUCGUAGUCCGGAUUGGAGUCUGCAACUCGACUCCAUGAAGUCGGAAUCGCUAGUAAUCGUGGAUCAGAAUGCCACGGUGAAUACGUUCCCGGGCCUUGUACACACCGCCCGUCACACCAUGGGAGUGGGUUGCAAAAGAAGUAGGUAGCUUAACCUUCGGGAGGGCGCUUACCACUUUGUGAUUCAUGACUGGGGUGAAGUCGUAACAAGGUAACCGUAGGGGAACCUGCGGUUGGAUCACCUCCUUA
rnacentral:rRNA from 1 species